GACUCUGUGGCGCAAUGGAUAGCGCAUUGGACUUCUAAUUCAAAGGUUGUGGGUUCGAGUCCCACCAGAGUCA